rnacentral:rRNA from 1 species
AGUGAACGCUGGCGGUAGGCCUAACACAUGCAAGUCGAACGGCAGCACAGGAGAGCUUGCUCUCUGGGUGGCAAGUGGCGGACGGGUGAGGAAUACAUCGGAAUCUACUCUGUCGUGGGGGAUAACGUAGGGAAACUUACGCUAAUACCGCAUACGACCUACGGGUGAAAGCAGGGGACCUUCGGGCCUUGCGCGAUUGAAUGAGCCGAUGUCGGAUUAGCUAGUUGGCGGGGUAAAGGCCCACCAAGGCGACGAUCCGUAGCUGGUCUGAGAGGAUGAUCAGCCACACUGGAACUGAGACACGGUCCAGACUCCUACGGGAGGCAGCAGUGGGGAAUAUUGGACAAUGGGCGCAAGCCUGAUCCAGCCAUACCGCGUGGGUGAAGAAGGCCUUCGGGUUGUAAAGCCCUUUUGUUGGGAAAGAAAUCCAGCUGGCUAAUACCCGGUUGGGAUGACGGUACCCAAAGAAUAAGCACCGGCUAACUACGUGCCAGCCGCCGCCGUAA